GCCUAGUUGGCUCAGUCGGAAGAGCGUGGGACUCGUGAUCGCAGGGUCGUGGGUUCGAGCCCUACAUUGGGUG
rfam:Ailuropoda melanoleuca scaffold1976_98, whole genome shotgun sequence.